rnacentral:rRNA from 1 species
AUUGAACGCUGGCGGCAGGCUUAACACAUGCAAGUCGAGCGGAGCGAGGGUGCUUGCACCUUAGCUUAGCGGCGGACGGGUGAGUAAUGCUUAGGAAUCUGCCUAUUAGUGGGGGACAACAUUCCGAAAGGGAUGCUAAUACCGCAUACGCCCUACGGGGGAAAGCAGGGGAUCUUCGGACCUUGCGCUAAUAGAUGAGCCUAAGUCGGAUUAGCUAGUUGGUGGGGUAAAGGCCUACCAAGGCGACGAUCUGUAGCGGGUCUGAGAGGAUGAUCCGCCACACUGGGACUGAGACACGGCCCAGACUCCUACGGGAGGCAGCAGUGGGGAAUAUUGGACAAUGGGGGGAACCCUGAUCCAGCCAUGCCGCGUGUGUGAAGAAGGCCUUUUGGUUGUAAAGCACUUUAAGCGAGGAGGAGGCGCUCUAGGAUAAUACCCU